rnacentral:rRNA from 1 species
UUAAGCGUCCAUACCACGUUGAACACACCGGUUCUCGUCCGACCACCGAAGUUAAGCAACGUCGGGCGCGGUCAGUACUUGGAUGGGUGACCGCCUGGGAACACGCCGUCAUGUUGGCU